ACUCCUACGGGAGGCAGCAGUGGGGAAUCUUGGACAAUGGGGGCAACCCUGAUCCAGCCAUGCCGCGUGAGUGAUGAAGGCCUUAGGGUCGUAAAGCUCUUUCGCCUGUGAUGAUAAUGACAGUAGCAGGUAAAGAACCCGCGUACAUCCGUGCCAGCAGCCGCGGUAAUACGGAGGGGGUUAGCGUUGUUCGGAAUUACUGGGCGUAAAGCGCGCGUAGGCGGAUUAGUCAGUUAGAGGUGAAAUCCCAGGGCUCAACCCUGGAACUGCCUUUAAUACUGCUAGUCUUGAGUUCGAGAGAGGUGAGUGGAAUUCCGAGUGUAGAGGUGAAAUUCGUAGAUAUUCGGAGGAACACCAGUGGCGAAGGCGGCUCACUGGCUCGAUACUGACGCUGAGGUGCGAAAGUGUGGGGAGCAAACAGGAUUAGAUACCCUGGUAGGCUCUGCU
rnacentral:rRNA from 1 species